GAUGAACGCUGGCGGCGUGCCUAAUACAUGCAAGUCGAGCGAACAGACGAGGAGCUUGCUCCUCUGACGUUAGCGGCGGACGGGUGAGUAACACGUGGAUAACCUACCUAUAAGACUGGGAUAACUUCGGGAAACCGGAGCUAAUACCGGAUAAUAUAUUGAACCGCAUGGUUCAAUAGUGAAAGACGGUUUUGCUGUCACUUAUAGAUGGAUCCGCGCCGCAUUAGCUAGUUGGUAAGGUAACGGCUUACCAAGGCAACGAUGCGUAGCCGACCUGAGAGGGUGAUCGGCCACACUGGAACUGAGACACGGUCCAGACUCCUACGGGAGGCAGCAGUAGGGAAUCUUCCGCAAUGGGCGAAAGCCUGACGGAGCAACGCCGCGUGAGUGAUGAAGGUCUUCGGAUCGUAAAACUCUGUUAUUAGGGAAGAACAAAUGUGUAAGUAACUAUGCACGUCUUGACGGUACCUAAUCAGAAAGCCACGGCUAACUACGUGCCAGCAGCCGCGGUAAUACGUAGGUGGCAAGCGUUAUCCGGAAUUAUUGGGCGUAAAGCGCGCGUAGGCGGUUUUUUAAGUCUGAUGUGAAAGCCCACGGCUCAACCGUGGAGGGUCAUUGGAAACUGGAAAACUUGAGUGCAGAAGAGGAAAGUGGAAUUCCAUGUGUAGCGGUGAAAUGCGCAGAGAUAUGGAGGAACACCAGUGGCGAAGGCGACUUUCUGGUCUGUAACUGACGCUGAUGUGCGAAAGCGUGGGGAUCAAACAGGAUUAGAUACCCUGGUAGUCCACGCCGUAAACGAUGAGUGCUAAGUGUUAGGGGGUUUCCGCCCCUUAGUGCUGCAGCUAACGCAUUAAGCACUCCGCCUGGGGAGUACGACCGCAAGGUUGAAACUCAAAGGAAUUGACGGGGACCCGCACAAGCGGUGGAGCAUGUGGUUUAAUUCG
rnacentral:rRNA from 1 species